ensembl:lncRNA
GGGGCGCGGCGCGGCGGUCGGUCAGUCCCGCCCGCGGCUGCGAGGCCGCGCCCGCCCUGGCUGGUUCCGGUGCCGGAGGUGCGGGGCGCGUGGGGGGUCGGGGGCGGGAGACUGCUCGCACGCGACCAGGACCAGAGGAGUCGGGGGUCCGCUCACACGGGACCAGCACCAGUGGUUCCUCGGGUCCCCUCCCAUGGGAACCAGAAGAGAUGGUUCCCCAUGGGGUCCAAGCGUGGCCACGGGUCCGCUCCUGCGGGGACCAGCCGUGGCUGUGGGUCUGCGCCCAUGGGGACUAGCACCAGAGGAGGCCAAGGGUGGACUCCCAUGGGCUCGAGGGUGGCCAGCAUCGCUCCCUUGGGUACCAGCACCAGGGACUUCUAGUAUAUCUUGAAAAAUGAAAGCUCCGGCAAUAGCAAACCAUCACACCCAUAGCCGCCUCCCUUUAGGUGUGUUAAAAGAUAAACUGAGGCAUAUUAAACAUUUCAAGUUUAUGGGGCCAGCCGGGUGGCACAGCAGUUAAGUGCGCACGUUCCACUUCUGUGGCCUGGGGUUCCCCGGUUUGGAUCCCCCGUGCGGACAUGGCACCGCUUGGUAAGCCAUGCUGUGGCAGGCGUCCCACGUAUAAAAGAGAGGAAGAUGGGCACGGAUGUUAGCUUAGGGCCAGUCUUCCUCAGCAAAAAGAGGAGGAUUGGCAGCAGAUGUUAGCUCAGGGCUAAUCAUCUUCAAAUAAAUAAAUAAAAAAUGUCGUUUAUUUGAGCAAAACUCUACUCCGAUUGGCAGAACCAAACCGGAAGUAGUUAGGAGUGUUCCACCCACAGGAGCCGAGUUUUUUUUUUUUUAAAUGCAGGUAAGGUGCCUUGUGGAAUUUUUUUUUAAAUAUUUUAUUUUUCCCUUUCCUCCCCAAAGCCCCCCAAUACAUAGUUGUGUAUUUUUUUUAGUUGUGGGUCCUUCUAGCUGUGGCAUGGGGGAUGCUGCCUCAGCAUGGCCUGAUGAGCAGUGCCAUGUCUGCGCCCAGGAUUUGAACUGGUGAAAUGUUGGACCACUGAAGCAGAGGGUGCAAACUUGACCACUGGGCCGGGGUGGCCCCCAGAGCUGGGGAUUUUUAUAGAGAAAGGCAGAAGCAAGGCAAGGAGAUUGCUGAUUGGCUAUGGCUUCAAGCCCGGUUGGCUGUGUGUGACAGGUGGUCCUUAGGUUCCAGUAUCAUCAGCUUGAGUCAUUUCCAGGCUUAGAUUUUACUUUGCUUACUUAGGCUGUCAGGGUUAGAGCCACAUCCGUCUAAUGGCCUCCUUGUUAAUUAACUUGACAGAUGGGACCUGAGCUUUCCAGUUCCACAGUGGCCGAAGGCUCACUUUAACUCCUUUAUGCUCUCAAUCUGUAUUCCUGUUUUUGGAAGAGGUUGAAGUUUAUUUCUGGACUCCACAGUCACCAGGGACCCAGACUUCUCUCUUUCUAUUCCAGCUUCCCAAUGUUUGGCCUCUAUUCUCAAAGUGGCCUCAAGGCACACAACAGCUGCUGGAGCCUCAUUCAUCACAUUCACAUUCCAGGCACCAGGAAGGAAGGGCAACAAUGGUGCAGCCAAAAUGGUGCAUUUCAUUUUAAGGGCUCCUGUAACUUCACACAGUCCUAUGCCUUUAUCUUAUUGUGCACAUGACCACAUCUUCCAUCCAAGGGAGCUGGGAAGUGCAGUGUGUUAGCUGGGCACGUUGCCACCCUGAAUUAAAUGGGGGUUACUAAGAGAUGACAGGUCCCAGGGAUUUGGAUGUGGACAUAUCUUUUUGGAGGCCACCACUCAACCCACUGCAGAGGCCCAUUUCAAAGAUGGCUGCAUGCAUGUAGGCCCCUGAUCACCUCAUCUGGGACUGCUCCCCACCUCCUCUACCCGUAUGGCUCUUUGUCCCUUCUCCUGGACUGACCCCGUUCUGCUUUAUAAUCACCGAGCAGUCGGCCCUCCCUGGGGCGUGAGCUCACUCCAGGCUCUAACCUCCGCUUGCCUGGGACAACAUUGUGAGGAGGGAAGGCACUCGGUAAAAGUUUGUGGAAUUAAAUAAAAUCACUGAAUUUGCACUGUGUUGAGAUUUUAUGCCUAUGACACUGCAUUCCUGAUUUUGUAAUGGUAGUCAGUGCUACAAUAGGAUUUGAUAAGCUGAAAUUCACUGUUAUUUGAUUUUUCUGGAAUACGCCUGUUCCAUAAGGUGAGAGAUUCUGACAUAUCUUUUGGGGCCUGAUACUUUAUCCAUUUGUUGCUUCAGGUUACCCAUUUGUAAAACGAGAAAAAGUAUAAACAGGAUCAGAGUUAAUUAGCUCAUUUUGAUGGAGUCUUUUAUGAUUCUCCCAGGUAGGAAAUAUAGGGGAGCACGAAGACAAACGUGUUAUCGUGGAAUGAUGUAGAAAUAACUAUUGGGCGGGGGGCGGUAGAGCAGAAAACGUUGUCGGCAGCUCUUACGAAAUCUCUCC